rnacentral:rRNA from 1 species
AAAAUUCUCUACUAGAGUUGGAGCACUUUGGGCGUCGAUUAGGAUGUAACGGAUUAGCUACCUUAAUAAGCCUUGACUUUUCUCAGAAAUCUCUAUGGCAGAUUCUCCCAGUUGGUAAGUCUCCCGGAAUUAGCUAAGCUACCGCAAAGCUAUAGAAGAAACAGACGUAUACUGCGGAACACGUUUACUUAGUAUGGUGUGCAAACGUGAUGUGUGUGUAUAUGACGUGGAAAUUAGUCAUUAUAAUACUUUAUGGUAUGGUGACCUCAUACGACUUGGGUCAUUGGUUGGUCGGGUAAUUCUGUACUGGAAUUGACCAUUGAUUGAUCGAUUUGGCAUUGGUCAUUGAUUGGUCGAGAGGCUUGUGCAAGGAAAUUUAGCACAGAAAUGGAGAGAUCUUGACAACAAAUUCGAGUGGUUGUUUCUUUGGCUAUUAGAGUAAGUUAACGUAGAUCAGGAAAAUCUCCGCUCUUGUAAAAUCAAAAAGUGCUUGUCAAGACAGACUUGCCAUAUUAGUGUACUUCAGGUUCAUAAUCAGUUGGCGUUGUGUGACCGAAGUAGCGACGAAUCAGGUGGUGUGGAGAAUAAACGCUACACUGAAGGGUCUCUACACGCACUCCGCGCUUAAUCUACACGAGAUGUGUAGUAAAGCCCAAUUUAUAACAUAAUAUGCUACGUUAGCAUUGUAUUGCCAAAUCCAUCAACUUCGGACUCUGUACGAAUAGAUUUCAUUUUGGAAGGGAAAAUAGCGCUUAAAGCAAUGUCGCAAAGUUUAAAUAUAUCCCAUUUUUAGAGUAUUUUUAUAACUUCGUAAGAUCACACAGUCAGAGCAUUGGCAUAAAUUUGUGACGAAAUCACCAGAUAAUUAAUUUUAAUACACGUUGCGCACAUUUUUGACAUCCACUUACAUUCAAGUCAGAUGCAGUGACCCAACUUGUUCUUUCUGUUUUCUCUCAGCCAGUCGUCAUAACAAGAUCAAAAUGUCGAAGGCAAAUCGAUAAAACAGCCAGAAUUACGUAUGCGUCCUUCGACUGACUUGUCUUUGACACGCUCUAGCUCAACCCUGGACAUUGCUAAUACGUUCAACCACACGAAAAUCCAGCAACUCUACUAAACCUAACUCAUUUCCUUGAUAAAGUGGAAAAAAUGAUGAAGAAGUAAAUAGACUAGGCCAACUUUACUUUCUAACGUCAGUUCAUCUUUUGGUCGACGGAUUCCCCUAGCCAUUUCACCUCUUCUUCUCUUUAGAUGCUUGCAUAUGGAUAGGACCAAAGAUUUCUGCUAUUCACGAAUGAUAAAAUGAUAAUAGCCUGCUAAGAAAAUUCCUACGACGAUUUUGGAUAACUCAGAUUUCAUGCAUCGAAUACCAUAAAGUCACUUUCAUUUACCUUUAGAAAUACAUUACUUCAGCAAAUUCGUCAAUAUUCCUUUGUCUGCUGCAAUACUUACAAAACAGGACAAUUCCCAUCAGCCAAAAUGAAAAGGCCAUGGGGAUACACGAUCCUUAACACGAUCCUUAUCCUUUACCACAGGAUAAAUUUCUUCGUCAGUAGAAACAAUAAGCAGAACGGGAAAGGGAGGGAAAGGGACACAAGGCACAAUGUCGCUGCAGUUCAACUUUUUAUGCUUUUCGUUGAGCAUUCGUUUUCCUCUUCGCAUCCGCUUCCAUCUGCGGCUUUCUCCCGUGCCUUUCGUUCGGCGAUUUCUUUUCCGAAAAUCACUCGAGCUUGCUCUGAAGCUGCAACUACUUUCCCGCGAUUUCCACCUCCCGUAUUAAGGAAAUCAUCUAAAACUGAUAAACCGACCUACUUAAAUCAAUUCAGGAGUAGUGAAUUUAGGUAAAUAUUACAAAUAAUUAGUGGCGUGCAUGAAUGGACUAGCGAGAUUCCUACUGUCCAUAUCUACCAUCUAGCGAAACCGCAGCCAAUGGAACGAGUUUGCAGGAACAGCAUGGAAAGAAGACCCAUUGUGGACGACAAUGGCAGACCACCCCCAUCAUUGUUUCUUUACUUAUUCUGUGAAGCGGGGUUGACACAAUAUACAUAUGACGGCUACAUUGGCAUUGAAGCGCAUGCCGGUAUCGGUGUUGCUACGUUCGCGUAUUUCGCAUCGACGGCGUUGGUGUCCUCGGUUGCGCCUGGUUAGCUCCAGUCAGUUGUUUAUCGCUCCUUUUUUCAUAUAGUAGUGGUGGGUGGCUCUGCGACACUAUUGGCCAUGAAUGCGACGUGCGACCUGAUGGUUUGACUGGGGCGGUACAUCUGUCGAAUCGUAACGCAGGUAUCCCAAGGUGAGCUCAGUCAGGACAGUAACCUCCUAGUGUAGAGUAAAAGGGCAAAAGCUCAAUUGAUCUUGAUUCUCAUUCAGUACGUAUACAGACCGGGAAACCGUGGCCUAUCAAUCCCUUCGAUGAUGAUCCGAUAUUCAGAGUUUAAAUCAAGAGGUGUCAGAAAAAUUACUACCACAGGGAUAACCGGCUUGUGGCGGCCAAGUGUUCAUAACGACGCCGCUUUUUGAUCCAUCGAUGUCGGCUUGUCUUCCUAUCAUUGUGAAGCGGAAUUCACCUAGAGUUGAACUGUCCGUCCACUAAUAGGGAACAUGAGCUGGGUUUAGACCAUCGUGAGACAGGUUAGUUUUACUCUGCUGAUGUGCCCACUGCUAUGUUAUCAGUGAGGUGGGAGCUGGUCGUUGCUACGGUCAUUCUGUUUACUACGAGUGGAAUAGCCAGGUUCAGACAUUUGUUAUAUGUGCCUGGUCGCGAUCGGCCAAUAGUGCGAAGCUGCCAUCUGAGGGACUAAGGCUGAACGUCUCUAGGUCUGAAUCCCAUCCAAGCAUGAUGAUGCAACGAUACACCACUACGGCCUGCCACAUGGAUAGGCUACUAUAGCACUUCCAUCCACGAGGCUUGGGACGGAGCCAGCCAGCGUGCCUCGCCACUCGUGAUUGGUCUGGCAACAGCAGUGCUAAGCCAGAGCG